GGUAAAUCUACAAUGAUAAUAAAUAUCAUCAGGUUGACUCUGGUGGUUGUGAUGCUGAUUCCUCUGCUUCUGGUUUGUCUGUGGAUGAGGAAGAAGAAAACUCUGAGCUCCACCACUGAACCAAAUGAACCCAUAGAGACAUUAGAGUUGGAGUCUGAUCCUGAUUGUAGCAACGCCUCAGCCUUGAACCAAAACUGUAACCAGAGGGACUCACCUGGAUGGAAACAGAGAGAAGUACAGCAUUGAAGUAGUCAGUGGAGAACAGGGGGCUGUGGAGGAUGAGGAUACAUUUACCUUUAACUGCAAACA